CAACGAUCAGAACCAUACAAAAAUUAAAUGUCACCAUACUUGAAAUUAUUGUUUUAUUUGUCGGGUAUAAUUUUUGCUGUCAGUUUUGAAAUUGGUCACAGAAAUCCUGAUGUCGUCGAAUAUGACAGUAACUCUCAGAUAGAAAAAACUGAAAAAGUUGAUCUGAGAGUGUAUUAUUGUUGCUUAUGUGGUGGCUGCGUCGACUUUCAUAUAAAUCAACUUGACCCAACUU